rnacentral:rRNA from 2 species
UUAAAUUGAAGAGUUUGAUCAUGGCUCAGAUUGAACGCUGGCGGCAGGCCUAACACAUGCAAGUCGAACGGUAACAGGAAGCAGCUUGCUGCUUUGCUGACGAGUGGCGGACGGGUGAGUAAUGUCUGGGAAACUGCCUGAUGGAGGGGGAUAACUACUGGAAACGGUGGCUAAUACCGCAUAACGUCGCAAGACCAAAGAGGGGGACCUUCGGGCCUCUUGCCAUCAGAUGUGCCCAGAUGGGAUUAGCUAGUUGGUGAGGUAACGGCUCACCAAGGCGACGAUCCCUAGCUGGUCUGAGAGGAUGACCAGCCACACUGGAACUGAGACACGGUCCAGACUCCUACGGGAGGCAGCAGUGGGGAAUAUUGCACAAUGGGCGCAAGCCUGAUGCAGCCAUGCCGCGUGUAUGAAGAAGGCCUUCGGGUUGUAAAGUACUUUCAGCGGGGAGGAAGGUGUUGUGGUUAAUAACCACAGCAAUUGACGUUACCCGCAGAAGAAGCACCGGCUAACUCCGUGCCAGCAGCCGCGGUAAUACGGAGGGUGCAAGCGUUAAUCGGAAUUACUGGGCGUAAAGCGCACGCAGGCGGUCUGUCAAGUCGGAUGUGAAAUCCCCGGGCUCAACCUGGGAACUGCAUUCGAAACUGGCAGGCUUGAGUCUUGUAGAGGGGGGUAGAAUUCCAGGUGUAGCGGUGAAAUGCGUAGAGAUCUGGAGGAAUACCGGUGGCGAAGGCGGCCCCCUGGACAAAGACUGACGCUCAGGUGCGAAAGCGUGGGGAGCAAACAGGAUUAGAUACCCUGGUAGUCCACGCCGUAAACGAUGUCUACUUGGAGGUUGUGCCCUUGAGGCGUGGCUUCCGGAGCUAACGCGUUAAGUAGACCGCCUGGGGAGUACGGCCGCAAGGUUAAAACUCAAAUGAAUUGACGGGGGCCCGCACAAGCGGUGGAGCAUGUGGUUUAAUUCGAUGCAACGCGAAGAACCUUACCUGGUCUUGACAUCCACGGAAGUUUUCAGAGAUGAGAAUGUGCCUUCGGGAACCGUGAGACAGGUGCUGCAUGGCUGUCGUCAGCUCGUGUUGUGAAAUGUUGGGUUAAGUCCCGCAACGAGCGCAACCCUUAUCCUUUGUUGCCAGCGGUUAGGCCGGGAACUCAAAGGAGACUGCCAGUGAUAAACUGGAGGAAGGUGGGGAUGACGUCAAGUCAUCAUGGCCCUUACGACCAGGGCUACACACGUGCUACAAUGGCGCAUACAAAGAGAAGCGACCUCGCGAGAGCAAGCGGACCUCAUAAAGUGCGUCGUAGUCCGGAUUGGAGUCUGCAACUCGACUCCAUGAAGUCGGAAUCGCUAGUAAUCGUGGAUCAGAAUGCCACGGUGAAUACGUUCCCGGGCCUUGUACACACCGCCCGUCACACCAUGGGAGUGGGUUGCAAAAGAAGUAGGUAGCUUAACCUUCGGGAGGGCGCUUACCACUUUGUGAUUCAUGACUGGGGUGAAGUCGUAACAAGGUAACCGUAGGGGAACCUGCGGUUGGAUCACCUCCUUACCUUAAAGAA